UGAAUAUAAAAACAAAACUAAAUAUAGAUAUAAUUGAAACUAUAUUAAAAUCCACACAGAUACUAAAAAAAAUAUAAAAUUUGAAAUAUUUCAAUGAAUGUAUAUGCACUAAAAAUUGAAACAAUCAUUACAUACUUACCCAACUUAAUUUUAAUAUUACGAAAUAAUAUUAUUUCGUUUCCAGUAUAUACUUACAACUAUGAUCAUCAAAAAUAGUUUAUACCAAUUUAAUCAAACUAUAAAUACAAUUAUAUUAAAUUUAAUAAGUUGCUUUACCUACUAGUUAAUUAUAU